rnacentral:rRNA from 1 species
GCUUAACGCGAAGAACCUUACCUACCCUUGACAUGUCUGGAAUGCCGAAGAGAUUUGGCAGUGCUCGCAAGAGAACCGGAACACAGGUGCUGCAUGGCUGUCGUCAGCUCGUGUCGUUAGAUGUUGGGUUAAGUCCCGCAACGAGCGCAACCCUUGUCAUUAGUUGCUACGAAAGGGCACUCUAAUGAGACUGCCGGUGACAAACCGGAGGAAGGUGGGGAUGACGUCAAGUCCUCAUGGCCCUUAUGGGUAGGGCUUCACACGUCAUACAAUGGUCGGGACAGAGGGUCGCCAACCCGCGAGGGGGAGCCAAUCCCAGAAACCCGAUCGUAGUCCGGAUCGCAGUCUGCAACUCGACUGCGUGAAGUCGGAAUCGCUAGUAAUCGCGGAUCAGCAUGUCGCGGUGAAUACGUUCCCGGGUCUUGUACACACCG